rnacentral:rRNA from 1 species
AUUGAACGCUGGCGGCAGGCCUAACACAUGCAAGUCGAACGGUAACAGGAAGAAGCUUGCUUCUUUGCUGACGCGUGGCGGACGGGUGAGUCAUGUCUGGGAAACUGCCUGAUGGAGGGGGAUAACUACUGGAAACGGUAGCUAAUACCGCAUAACGUCGCAAGACCAAAGAGGGGGACCUUCGGGCCUCUUGCCAUCGGAUUUGCCCAGAUGGGAUUAGCUAGUAGGUGGGGUAACGGCUCACCUAGGCGACGAUCCCUAGCUGGUCUGAGAGGAUGACCAGCCACACUGGAACUGAGACACGGUCCAGACUCCUACGGGAGGCAGCAGUGGGGAAUAUUGCACAAUGGGCGCAAGCCUGAUGCAGCCAUGCCGCGUGUAUGAAGAAGGCCUUCGGGUUGUAAAGUACUCUCAGCGGGGAGGAACGGAGUAAAGUUAAUACCUUUACUCAUUGACGUUACCCGCAGAAGAAGCACCGGCUAACUCCGUG